GUUUCAUAACAAGACAGAGGUUUGGGAGGAAAUAGAGGCAAAAAUCAAUGCUGAAAAUGAAGUUCCCAUCCUUAAAACAUCUAAUAAGGAAAUCUCAUCUAUUCUCCAAGAACUGCGAAGAGUCCAGAGACAACUUGAGGUGAUCAACACUAUUGUUGAACCUGGAGGAAUCCUCAACAUUCACUCAAAGGGCACUUCUCCCGGGGGAAAGACCAAAUCUGCCUCCAAGGAGUUUACCAGCCCCACUUCUACUAAUGCCAAUGCAAGUGCAAAGCGAGGUCCCAGAGGACCUGAGGGAGGUCGAUAUGUAGUAUAAGCUUACCUUCAACAAUGGCAUAGCCAUUAGCUUGCUCUGCAAAAAGAAGAAGAAAAAACACAAUCAUGUCAAUCAUCUCUUUGGGAACUGCCAUAUUCGUGGCACAUUUGUAAAAGAAUUGUGAGACUAUGUGUUGUGCAAAUAUGCGGCAUAUGCUUUCUCUAAGACUGUAGACACACUUCACAAGCUAAAGCAGGUGUAAACAUUGUUCUUUUCAACAGUUGCAAUCUGUGGCUUGCUCGAAUGAUUGUCCGUAUGCCAAGUUGUCAUUCAUGAUUGAGUGAAUGAGUGGGUGUGUCACUGUAUUCCUGUACCAUGUCUGUUGUGGUCUCAUUUGUUGAAAACCAUGAGAAAACCAUGUAGCAUUCAAUCCGUGUUCAUUGUCAAUCAUCUAGUGCACUUGGCUGCUACAAAUCUUCAGCAUGAAAAAAUGGGUUAAAACACAAUACUUAAUAAGUGCUUGCCUUCAACAAUGGCAUAGCCAUUAGCUUGCUUUGCAGAAAAAAAGAUUCAUCAGCUGUUUUAAAUAUAAUGUUAUCAAAGAUAAGAAUCAAAUAUUGGUGCUUCUAAGAAUAUGGCUACUGUUGAAUUCCCAGACAUAGCGAGUUUAAAUGUCGUCAAAAAGUAAGCAUCCUUUGGCAUAGAUUACGUUUCUUUUCGUAUUUUUGUUUUGCAACUACACCACACGUCUGGUGUCAGGGUGUUUGUUUAUGUGUGUAAGCGAGUGCUAGAUUAUGUAGAAUCAUGUGUGAUGCUGUGGUGUUGUUGCUGUGUUACAGAUGAAAACUUGAAAAACGGGUUAUCUUCACCCUGCCCCAAUAUAUUAUAUGCUUUUAUGAUUGUAUGCAACAAAAUGAUUGUUUUUAAUUGAGGAUGACAGAAAACUAUAAUUGGAGCGAACAAAAAGCAGCUGAAUAUAACAGGCUAUCGCCCUCAUGUUUGCAUUAGCCAUGUAUUCUUUGUGUCAUAUACUCUUAUGUAUUUGUGAUUUUGAAUGUUUUAAAAGCAUAAAAAUGAUGUUAAAAUAUCCUUUAAUAAGAGAAUGAAAUCCACAACAAUGACACACUAAUAUUUAAUAUUAACAGGGUAAAACAGGGUAAGAUACCCCUUGAGGCAAGAUGACCCCCAUCUUAAUUGCUCUUCUUAAAAUAUGAAUACAUAAAAUUAUAUCUUUGGGAUAAGAUGCCCCUCCCACAAUUGGCCCAGAAGAGCAUGUUGUUACUAGUGUUUUUAAUUUAAUACGUAGAUGUAUAUUGAAUAAUUCCAUGAAUUAGAUGUCCAUUUCAAAGAUUUUCGCUUUUCAUUAAAACCUGUUGGCUAACUGAGUGAAAUCAUUCAGUUUGAAUUUAUAGUGUUGCUGUAAUGGCAUAUCUUCAAAAUAUGGGCAACUAAAUAUGUAAAUAUUCAUAUGCUGUAUAAUGUAGUAAAUGCAUAUUGUUCUUAAGGGUGGCAUCUUAUCCAUCUUACCCUAAAUAUUUUAUCUUGAGACUGGCCAAUAUAUAAUUAUUGUGACAACCAGUACCUUCUAAUUACUACAAUGUGAAUGUGCAGUGAACCAUACAAACUACAUACAAAAACAAUAGGUUACUUGCGUAACCCCGGUUCUCUGAUAGCAUUAAGAGAGGUGUCUCACUAUGGGAUACGCCCCUUCCGCUUAUUCCUCAGAAGCCCUAUUACAUUACGCCAGCCCCAAUUGGCUGGCAGACGUGACGUUGUGUCUGGGAGUGGCCUCCCCACCCCUAAGUAUAAAGGGAGCGACACAACAUCACUCCGACAUUCAAAACAAACACACCUCUUCCUCGCUUCGCACAGCAAGGAGGGUGAUCUGGUGAGACACCUCACUUAAUGCUAUCAGAGAACCGGGGUUACGCAAGUAACCUAUUGUUCUCUUUCAAGCAUACGUUUUGGUGUCUCACUAUGGGAUAUCCACACUCCCGUAUUGCCAGAUAGCCUGCCUCGAAGUCUCCUGCCAACCACAAUAACCGCAUCCGGGGCUGAACGAGUCAUGACUCAUGACUCACAUUCCUACGCUCAAUACUGCAUGUGCUAAAGUUUGAGCUGUAACAUCCAGUUUAUAAAACCUUGCAAAUGUAUGCGGUGAGGACCAACUCGCCACUUCACAAAUAUCCUGUAACGUGACUCCUUUAAAUAGAGCCCACAAAGUUGACAUUCCCCUUGUUGAGUGUGCACGUAAACCAGGUGGGGAUACAAGGCCCUUACUGGAAUAUGCCAACGAAAUCGCCUCCACUAUCCAGUGCGAUAAACGCUGCUUAGUAAUCGGCUUCCCCGUACGAGGUUUCAUCCAAGAUAUAAACAGCUGAUCACUCUCCCUGAACCCUCUGGUUCUUUCUGUAUAAAUGCG